rnacentral:rRNA from 1 species
AUUGAAUGAUGGCGGCAGGCCUAACACAUGCAAGUCGAGCGGAUGAAGGGAGCUUGCUCCUGGAUUCAGCGGCGGACGGGUGAGUAAUGCCUAGGAAUCUGCCUGGUAGUGGGGGAUAACGUCCGGAAACGGGCGCUAAUACCGCAUACGUCCUGAGGGAGAAAGUGGGGGAUCUUCGGACCUCACGCUAUCAGAUGAGCCUAGGUCGGAUUAGCUAGUUGGUGGGGUAAAGGCCUACCAAGGCGACGAUCCGUAACUGGUCUGAGAGGAUGAUCAGUCACACUGGAACUGAGACACGGUCCAGACUCCUACGGGAGGCAGCAGUGGGGAAUAUUGGACAAUGGGCGAAAGCCUGAUCCAGCCAUGCCGCGUGUGUGAAGAAGGUCUUCGGAUUGUAAAGCACUUUAAGUUGGGAGGAAGGGCAGUAAGUUAAUACCUUGCUGUUUUGACGUUACCAACAGAAUAAGCACCGGCUAACUUCGUG